rnacentral:misc_RNA from 1 species
CGUAUGUCAUCCGUUGAAAUUGAUACUGUUAUGCCGCAGGAUUUGAUUAACGCAAAGCCAGUAGCGGCAGCGGUUCGUGAAUUUUUUGGAUCUUCGCAAUUGUCGCAGUUUAUGGAUCAAACUAACCCCUUGUCAGAAAUUACCCAUAAGCGUCGUCUUUCUGCUCUUGGGCCUGGUGGUUUAACACGUGAGCGUGCAGGUUUUGAGGUACGUGACGUGCAUCCUACGCAUUAUGGUCGUAUUUGCCCGAUUGAAACACCAGAAGGUCCCAAUAUUGGUCUUAUUAAUUCUUUAGCAACAUUUGCACGAGUUAAUAAAUAUGGCUUUAUUGAAAGUCCAUAUCGCAAAAUUAUCGACGGUAAAGUGACAACAGAGGUGAUUUACCUUUCUGCAAUGGAAGAAUCAAAACAUUAUGUAGCUCAGGCUAAUUCUUCAUUAGAUUCAGAAGGGCGUUUUACGGAAGAGUUUGUAGUUUGCCGUCAUGCAGGUGAAGUUUUGAUGGCUCCACGUGAUCAUGUGGAUUUGAUGGAUGUUUCACCAAAACAGUUAGUUUCGGUAGCUGCUGCUCUUAUUCCAUUUUUGGAAAAUGAUGACGCAAACCGUGCGUUGAUGGGUUCAAACAUGCAGCGUCAAGCGGUUCCACUUAUACGCGCUGAGGCGCCAUUUGUCGGUACAGGUAUGGAAUCGAUAGUUGCUCGUGAUUCUGGUGCUGCUAUUGGCGCAAAACGU